GUUACCUGCCUCGCAAGAGCCUCGCUGAGCUCCUCCUGGCAGCAGGGCCACUUCUGAGAAUUAGAAAAGUGUGCAACUCUAUUUGUUUCACCAUUUAUAUAUCAGGUGACAAGUAGCUUCUGCUAGACUUAAACCCCAAAAACUAAAACCACCAUACCCAGCUUGGGACCCAGCCAUGGAAGAGCUACUGUUUGGGGUCAGCCAGAUGAGUGUUCUUGGGCAUUGCCACCUGUGCUGGAGACCAUGGCAAAUUUACUGUUUCUGAUGAGCCUGGUCCCAAUAUUGCCUUACAUACUGGCCCAAGGUUUACAUAGGGGUGCUACAAAGACCUGCUGGAAUAAAGGCUGGCUUAGAGCAAUGUCAUCUUGCUUGUGAGAGGGACAAAACAUCUACGAGCUCCAUACAAGACCAGACACCAACAGCACCGUGCGGGACCCUACGUGCAUUCAAAGAACUGGUGGUCUGAGAUGUUCUGGGCUCAUGGGAGCUGUGGUCGGUCAGUUUGGGUCACAGGUAACGUGACCAGCAUUCUUUUGGGCCAUCGUCCUUCUUAUUUCAAUGUAAACACUUCCCACCUGUCCCAAAUAUGCAUGCCAUUCUCCAAGACUUUCCAGCAUUGCUUACAUUUGCAGAACUUUAUUCCCCGCUCCCUGUGCCGCAUCUGUUCCCAUCACAGCUGUGGCCACCCUGUUCUGUCUGGCUGACAUCCCUGGCCCUCCCCUUUCCCCUCCAAACCACCUCCCCCUCCAAGAUCAAAAUACUCUGUUUUUAUUUAUUUACCCUGCAGCUGUCAGUGUUGUGUCUGGGUCAGUGCACUGCAACGUGGAGAGACACGCGAUAGGUGGUAAUUCCUUAAAACUGCCAAUCCUGGUAGUAACCAACAUACACCACAUCAACAAAUAUAUCCCUUGGCCCUUUGUUCCUUUGAAAACAACAGGUCCAUGGGAUGGAAGAAAUGACAUUGUUGGAGGCUGGUACAGAUAUCCUGGUCUGAACCAGCAUUGACUUUGUAAGUGGCCCGGGAGAAGAGUCAGGACUGAAGAGAGGGGCUAUCCCAGGGCUGCCCACCCCGCUGCUUUUUGGCACUGCACAGAAAUGUGCAAGACAGAGACAUGGCUGUGAGACAUCAGGCAACAGCUUUGCUGUCUCUCUGCCCCACACACUGCUUUUUAAGAUGAAAGGAAAUACUGUGUCACAAAGUGGAAGAUGCUGUUGAGAAGCAGGAAGCAUUUGGGAUGGUGCAUGGUGGCAAAGAAAGGCAGAGGCAGGAAUGAGUCUGAUUUUCUUCUCUUUAUCUGCUGAUUUCAAGCUCAGUAUUCAGACACCAGCUUUGGCGAAGGUGAGGCGUCAGCCCCUUUCAGCUGCAGCACUUUAUGAACAUGGGCUAGUACAUGGGCUCACCAGUGGAUGUCUCAUUCCUAUAUCAGUACAAGCCUUGCCCUGGUGUAAAGACAAGUCUUUACCUCAAUAAAGCAAGGAGUACAACUAUGAUUUAAGGUUGGAGAGAAAUAGGAAGAGCUUCUAAGUAGCCAGUGACUAGUAAAAUAAAUGCUUGUUUCUGACCCGUGUUGAUUGAUAUAACACAAUUUCUGUGUUUUCAGGAAGGCUUGCACAGUGGCUGGCUGAAUGGACUCCGUCAGAAUUCUCUGCUGUACUGGUGAUACAGAACUGCAGCAGCUCCUUUUCAUUUUGCCCACCCUGUACUGUGCCCGGCAUCCACAAGUGAGGCCAUGUUGUGCAUGUGCUUGUGCUGCUUCAUAGAACAGACCUGCAGGACCAGAUGGUGGUGGUGAUACAGAAUGCCCAGUCCCCCCUGCUUUGUGAUAUGGAGUUGCUCUGCAUGCAGAACAUUGAGUUCAAAUUGUCCAUCUCACUUGUAAGGGGGUAUUCAGAGGCUCUGCUCCCUUUAGGCAGCCUUUUAUUUCUGCACAGAUGCUCAAGGACACUAAGUUAACAUUUUAGCAAACUCCAGAUGUUGUGUGGUACCCAGCACCCUGCUGCAUUGCAUGCAGAACUUUUAGUUGAUUGCUUUGGGAGGUUGUUGUGGCCACAUGGCCAUUGGGAGCCAGAGAUGGAUUAACUGGAUCAGGGGUACUGUGUGUUGGCAGCAACAACUUUUUUCAGUAUGCUAGAUCCUGUUUUUUAGGCAAUCACUUUGUAUUCUCUACCCCACCAAAAUGCAAGUGCCUUUUAAAAAAUAGCUGUAGUCUGCCCACUGUGAGUGCACUUAAAGACACUCACCCAUGUUCCAGAUAGACCACUAAACCAGGGCUGUGGUUUCCUGAACGCAGAGCUGGGUGCAGCUGAAGACAGGGUUCCCCUGCAAGGCCGGGUGUUCCCUCCUGCCAGCAGCUGUGGUUCAGGCUGAGGUAGGAUGCACAUCGCAGCAUCUGGGUGCGUGGCUGGAAACCAGGUGGUCUUCAGCUGCCAGCCACUGCCCCAGGCAGUGCUCAGGGCACUUCUCAGAGUGUGGGAGAAAGACACAUCACUCUCCCUUCUUUAGCUCCAGGAUAACAUUAAGAAAGGCUGGCAUGGAGAAAGGGAUUUCCCCCCCCCAAGCCCUGCCUCUCUUUCUGCUUCUCUAAUAAUAGUCAGUUUUAGGUCUGUCUAAAAUCAGAACAAGUAAACUAAAACUCAGUUGAGGAAGGAGCUGGUAUCAGCAUUGUGGCCAGGUGAUAGGUGCCCUUGGUCAACUUCCUAUCUGCUAAACAUCACCUGCCUUUUCACUGGCACCAUCCCAAGUACUGCAAGGCAACAGACUAGCAGGUACUUCAACAAGAACCUUGCUGGAACCUCUCCUUUGGCCCUCCAGAAGGACAUGCUUUUGGCACACAGGCGUUUGUGACAGGGGGUGGAGAUGAGGGGGUAGGCUGUGGAAGAUGGCUCCAGGUAGGUGUUACAUAAGCUGCAGGAUGCUUGGAGCCUGGCAUCUGAUGCAGGAGGUGGGCUGGGAGCAUGAAUUAAAGCAUGGGGACACUCUAGUGGGGACACACUAGCUUUAGGCACCAAAUGUGCACUGUGAUAGUCAAUUGAGUUGUCACACUGCUACCUCUUCAACCAGGGGAGGGAUGUGCAGGACCCUAAGGGCCGCAGAAGACACUGGGAGGACACAGCUGGUGUCACACCCUUACUGCCAUGUGCUUCUCAAUCUCUGCAGCUAAUGCAACUUGUUGAGAAUCACAGCCCAGAACACAACUCCCUCCUUGUAGCCCUGCCUUUUCCCUCCCAACCUGCAGAACUUGCCUCCUUCUUGCACUGCUACCUCUUCUGCCAGCUGCAGCCCCACAUUUUGGGUCAGUGAGAAGAAGAGAGACCUGCAGGUGAUGAGAUGUGGGAGAGAGAAGAUGACUUUUUCUGGCAAUUUGAUUGCUUUCCCACUUGGUGUUGGAUCCUUUCUCAAAGUCAUUCUUUGAUAAGGCAUUACCCCACCCAGGAGGCACAGAAAGUUGUGUUCUACAUUGAUAUUUGUCUAUUAUUGCUCUAUGGUGUAUCUAAGUGAUGGAAACAGCUACCAACAGCCUAGCAGGUUAAGCAGAAAUAGAUUGCUUGGAAUCCCUUCACGUCCCAGCAGUAAUAUUUCCAGUCCUUCAGAUGUAGCUAAACUUGUAGCUAGCAGCUUGUUGGGUGUUCAGAGAUUGACAUUAAUGACAUGUUAUGCACAAGUAUCUCUUCCGGGACAGAAUCUUAUUCCUCCUAGUGCAGCACAUUAAGUUAUUGCUGUCUUCCACCCCAGAAGUGGCUGCAUUUCUUAUUCUGGCUAUGUAUACAGCAGCUUGUGAAACAUGCUAAGACUCUCCAGCAUGAAAGGCAUUAGAGAAAUGUAAGGCAGGAUCUAAGCUAUGACAUGGCAUCAUAUUCCAUUGGGCAGCAGGGGAAAUGGGGAUGCAAAAUAAGUUCUUGAGCUGAAUAAGCCAUUUGGACAAAAUAAGGACCGAGGUGAACUUUAGUCUUCCACAUCUAAACCAAAAUUGGAUCACAAGACUUCUCACAUUGGUGUGUCAAAGUUAGCUCAUGAAAUUACCCCACCUCCAUUGCCACCAACUGUUUUCUAGUGUAGGAGUUUAAUUCAUAGUUCCAGUUGCUGAAAAAUACGCGAAGACUGGGGCAAACAGGAAAUCUGGUAGCUUGACUAUGAAAAGGUGAGUCAAAUCAAUACUCUGCGUGUUGUAGAAGCUCAGACCCUGACAAGGACUUUUCAUUUCUCUUUUGACCUCAUGGGAUUUUUUUAUUUUUUGGACCUGCUCUGUGAGAAAGCAUUUCAGAUGUGAACAUUUUCUGAGGUCUUCUUGCUGCUUCAUGAUUUGUGGUUAACAUGGUGCUGGAGAAACCCAGCAAAAAAUCCCUCUGCUUAGCCUAGUCUAACCUAAUCUAGUCCAGCUGCAGCCUUUGAGUACUAAAUUGCAACACCUACAGAUUUUUCAGGCUAGCACCUCAUCACAUCCAGUCACCACCUCCACCUGGAGCAAAGGGAAAGGGGGAGUCUCAGCAAUGGGUGGAUGAUGUGUUUGCACUUAGUUUGCAUCCAUGGAGCAGAAACCCUGGUUGGAAAUUCGGGGCAGUAACUAUUAAUAUCUGCUCUUAAACAGGAGUUGCAGUAGUGUUAGCUAGUGAACCUGAACUCUCCUUUCCUUACUGGUUACAGUGGUGAGUCUGUGGAGUUUUGUGCUUGCAGAUAACUGUUUAGCAGCAUGUAUCUGCAAUCUGUGUUUCUCUUUGCCAUGGGGAAGGCCAGGGGGGGUAGUGCUGGCUCUGUGGAGGGAUAUGCAGAGGGUGAUGACUUUACUUUACUCCCUAGGUGGAUGUGAUUCCUUAAAACCAGGCAGGUAACAGCACUGCCCUGCAACAGGGCUUCAGCUUGCACAUACUGGAGCCCACAUAAGCAGCACUGGAUGUGCGGACAAGGCAGCUGGCUUCAUGUGUAGCAGUAACCCAAGAGUUUACCCGGCUUCUCAGGAAAGAUUUGAUGAGCUCUCUGUUAUGUGGCUGCACAGCUACACAGUUCAAAGCUGCUUUGGCUACCCGUGCAUCAGCUGUGCUUGAUGCUUAGAGUUGCUUGGGGAUGUUUGUUUGAUUGUCAAAACAUUUUGGUGUCAAGGGCCUCUCCACACCCUCUGGUGCGAUGUGAUCCUUGAUUAACAGGCUGAGCUCGGCUGUUUGGGAGCCUGUCCCAGUGCUAUUUAAACCUGCACAAAGAAGGGGUAGGAUACUACUGCGUCAUAAUGAUAGUGGUGUGACAGUACCUGCUGGAGUGUGCUGGAUAUGCAAGGUCUGAAGUAACAAGCAAGUACCUGAGCUCAUUUGUCUGCUGUGGCAGUGAUGGAGCUGAAGACAGCGGAGCCCAGACCCACCUGAACCAUCAGGGCCUGCUGCUCCUGAAGAUGACCAGAGUGACUGUUUCUUGGCUUGGGGUGUUGUUUUAUUUUUCUUUUGGGUGUUUGUGAUAUGGUGGUUUUUUGUUUGGUUGUUUUUUUUAUUCCCCACCUCUGCUUUAGUUCUUUUAGAGUUUUGGUCCGGGCUUGCCCAGAAGCUUGGCCACAGGUUUGGGUCCCUGAUGCUUGACCAUAGCUCAGUGAGCAAAGUUCAACUGUUACCACACUGGGGUUGAGCAUAGUUCAGCUCCUCAUGUGCACCGCAGAGAAGGAGCUCACAAUGGGGCAAAACCUGCUUCCUCACCCAAUUUCUGAGGGAGGAAUGGCUGCACCAUGCACAGGGUGCAGCCCACGUGAAUAAUGAGUGGGAAAAACUGGCACAUCUUGGGGCCUUGUGCUCUGUCCUCCCCAGCACCUGGAGCUGCAAAGGGACACAGGCAGUAGCUGCCAACCCUUGAGGGUGCCCAGCUCCAUAACUGACCUGGUCUCCAGCCUGUGCUCCUUGGGAUAUCACAGCCAUCAGCAGCCCCAGCACCUGGCAGCAGCAUCAUGGUUACCUGCCUGGUCCUCCCUGCACUAAAUCAUGCUAUCAAGCUGAUGAUCUGCUGGUAAUUUUGCUCCAGCUGAGUUCUGCAGACCUGCUAUUGUGCAUUCUGCUCUCUCUGUAGGCAAAAAGCCUCACUCCAAAUUAUCUGCCCUUGCUUGGUAUAUGCACAGCUUCUGGCCACUCUCCAGCUCAUUGUCUGUUCUGGAAACCAAAAGACUCUGCCCUAGUACCUAAUUUCAGGAAUGAGGCUCUGGAGGCCGGUGAGGUGCCAUGGACAGAUGUGAGCAAGUGCAUUUUUGUGGCAGUUGCAACACUGAGGCUGUUCCUCAUUAAGACGGGGUGGUGAUGCCCACACUGCCCUGCUGAGCACGGGCAUGGUAAUUAAUGCUAAGCAGCUUUUCUUUAAAAGUUCCCUCCUGGCCCCAUUGUGCACAGGGAAGCACAUGGCACAGCAGCGGGUAAGGGUCUAAAAGAGCAGCUCCAAGGCACAGGCUAGAAGCUGUGAAACGCAGAUGUGUAUUGCUGCACCAGUACAAGCACCGAUCACGAACUUUCUUUGCUAUGCUGUCUUCUCUAUUCCUCCACUUACCUCAAUUUUUUGCUCCCUCUGUCUCUCCUUUGUGAGCUUAUAUGUGAUACAGAGGCUUUGUUCAAAGAGGCUGCUAUACUGCUGGGCUGAGCUGAGAACUCACCUGCUCAUUUCAUGCCAGACACUGAACAACUGUCAGUCUAUUCUGCCUGGGUGCAGCAGAUGUGCAGAGAGGGUGACCAGUGUCCCACCUUGCCAGGGAAGUCAAUGGAAGUUUAACUGCUGACUUCAUGAACAGGAUUUCAACCCAUGUCUGUGAUUAGUGAUGAGAUGAAAUCCACAGCUUGAAAUCAUUUAGCCAGCAUAUCCGACCAAACACAAACAUCCUCUGUGCUUGCAAAUAAAUGAUUUGAGCCAGCUC